GAUUGUCUAAAGGUAGAGUUAUUAUAAUAAAUCUACAAAAUAUGACAUUGGGAAUUUAAUUUGUAAAUGGUGUUGAACGCUCAAUGCUUUAUACUGAGAAUCCUAAAGUUUACAAUGUAAUGCCCACUUUGAAUCUGGGUUUUAUCCUAGAAAACUCACUUUAGAUAAAAA
rnacentral:other from 2 species